GUGUGUGGUUGUAUGUAACAAAAAAAGAGAGAAGUGGUGCAUGUGUCUAAUGUGUCUGCUUGUUUCUGUAUUUGAUCAUGUUUGUGCACGUGUUUGCGCAUGAGUCCUUGUAAUAAUUUCUUAUACUAGUGUGUCGGCGGUGCAGCUUUUUGCGAAAAUCAACAAACAAUAACUCAUUAAAAUGUAACAGCUACGAACCGCCUUUUGUCUUCCGGACACAAGUUAUAGAUGGGUGUAUAAGUUUCUCCAGACAAACAUGUUUAGUUUAAUGCAACAAAAGACAAAGAGAUGCUGAUAGGCAUUCCUUAUCCUGGAUGAUACCUGUAAUCGUCAAAGAUGUAGGUAAUUUCAAUUACACACAUUUUCCCUGAGAUGCGUUUUACUAACCUCCUCUGUCUGACUUAUUUUUGUUUGGUUUCAUGCGCCUUUCGAGACAACAAUAACUGUUCAUUACAAGACAAUAAUCUAGUAAAUAAAAGGACCGCAAAUCUUUGAAAAGAAAAUUUUUUUUUUUUUAAAUAAAUCCUAAGUGAACUCAAUACACAAUAGUAAUAAAUAGACCAAUUAUAUUGAUGAAUUUUAAUGUAUCUGAGGGUAGGCGAGCUAAUGUGCAAUCUAUUCUACAGGGUGCACUGUCUGCCCUCUGUUUUGGUGAACUGGUCUCAUCAUGAGAGUUCUCAGGGGAGGAUGGCAACCCAAGCAUCUCUUAAUGCCAUUGGCGAUAAGCUAGUUGAUGUCAUGAAGAAGUGUGUGAUGGAGAGUCUCAAUGGCCGGUUUAUAGAAGAACACGUUGAUAAGACAAGUAAGCCAAUGACAGUCCUGUGAAGAGGAGACCUCCACGUGCUCUACUGAUAUAAAAAGGAAGCUGAUAAAAUACUAUUGUCUUGCGAGUAAAAAUAUGUAACCAAAUGAACGAUGGCAGUCAGGUUGUUCGUUGUUUCUUACUUAUUUCUUCUUCUACAUGUUGAAUUGAUCAAUGGCACAGAACCAGAGAGUGAGGACAGCUCACAACAAACCAGACUAGGACUACAGAACGGUGCCAACUCCUUACACACCGUACAUGCCACAGAAGCAGAGAAAGAGACCAGCUUACAACAGACAAUAUCAACCAUAGAAGUAGUCAGUGAAACCGGAUCACAACAGGC